CGUCUAAACAGCAGCAGAUUCAACAGGCAGAGGGAGUUCAAAGGGGUCAACCGCCCCAGCCGACUGGCAUUCAGCUGAGGCCGCCUCCAGCUUAGCGAGUGGGAUCGAGUCCCACCUCGGAAUGACUAAGCAGGGAGGCGGAGGCGUCAGCAUUCUGCGGAGGUCCGCAGGUCGGCUUCAGGGAACCCUGAACUCUUGCAGCAAAGCGGAAAAGAGGAUGCUGAUCAGUCAGUACCAACUGGACCCUAGAAGAACCAGAAGAGAAAUGAGGCAGAAAAAGGGUAACACUGCACGUCAACCCCUCCCUCCCAACUGCACAUCCCGAGCUUAAGCUUAGGCACCUCUUGGCCGGCUCAGCCAGGGCAGCAGUCUCACUGGAUUGAAACAAGUUCCUCCAGCAACAGUGUGGUGUGUUCCCCUGAAGAACCGCCCCCCGACCCACCACCACCUCGACGCUGCCAAAGGUUCAGCUGGGCUGUCCCCCCGCCCCCACUGCCACUUCCUCAGCUGGAAAUGGAGGCCAAAUAUAACCAGCCCUUUCCCGGCUCACAAAAAUUCCAAUCAGACGGCUGCACAGGGACAACCGGCCAAAGAACGUCUCCCCAGCCCACAGCCAGAAACAACAGCCACUUGUACACAGUUUUCAACAGCUACCAAGCCCACUUUUGAUCUGCCUCCUGACACACAAGGCUCUUGUCAACCAGGUUCUCUGCCGGCCAACAGACACAUCUUGUUAAAUCUUACCUAGCGGGUGACACUAAAUGGAACUGUGCUAAGGAGAUCCAGGCUGGGAAAGAAUAUUUCUCAUGAUUGUCAUCAAGAACAGCUUCUGAAAACCCAGCAGUGUCAAGUGUGGUAACAGGUGUGUGUGUUUGGCAGUCCUCACCUCCACUGCUAUCCAUGGGCUCCAACUUGGUCAUCAUUCACACCCUCGUGGCAGCAGUGUCUUGGGGUGCUACCAGCAAGAUGACAAGCAGCAAGAAUAAGCACGAGGGUAGCAGCUGCAGUGGGGCAAAGUCAGGUGACUGCACCUGGCUAAUGAUGCCUUUCUGCUCCAGCCGCCUCUCUCCACCCUCCUUUCUCAACUGGCUUUUGUGUUUCUUGGAUGCCAUGAAAGAAUCACCAGAAUGAUACAGUCUGAGAGCAAGAGAUCUCAGAAACAUCUAGUUCAACCUGCUCAUUUUAAAGAUAAGGAAAUCGGAGCCCAGAGCAGUUAAGUUCCUUGGCCAAGCUCGGGCAGGUGGUUGCUGGCAGAGUAAUGACACGAAUCAAUUAACUGAACCUACUCUAAUGGUCUUUCCACCAUUCCACUGUGGCUUUCAAACAAUUGUUAGCACAAUCCACUGUAUGGAAUAGAUUUUACAUCAUGACCCACAAUAUCUGUACAUGUAUACAACUGACACAAAAGUCUCACAAAACAAUAAUUAUCUUAACUGUAUGUGACACACUGUGGUAUUUUCAAUUGUAGUACAUUCAUUUUUAAAAGAUUCUGGAGAUUGCUUGGCAGCGUGUAUACUAAAACACAGAGAAGACUAACAUGGCCCCCACACAAGGAUAACAUGCAAAUUUCCCCCAUAUUUUCUUCACAUUUACCAAAUGUUCCCUUUCCAGGGAUAAUAUUUAUAGGUACACAGUCAAAUAAUUUGCAUUUUUCCUAAUUAGAUACAUCUACUGAAUGUCUAGGAAGGUGGGGUUGAAUUAGAAACAGAGAGGGGUUCCUUCCAGCUCUAACCUGUCAGGCAUCCAAUCAGGAGUGAUCUUACUGUCCGAUCUGUCCUUAAUUCUGAAAGACAGAAUGAUCUAGUAGAGAGAACACUGGGUCUAGUCCUGGCUCCACCAUCUUCCAAGUGUGACUUGGGGUGAAUUUUCUCUGGGUUCUGCUAUCUCACUGCAAGAGCAAGCUGUUGUUAACUGACAGAGUUCUGAGAAAUGAACAAAAUAAUGCAAAUGAAUGCAAUAAGAAGCUCUAUUCACAAGACUGGUCCUGGAACAGCAAUGGUCUUAAAUUCUCACAUUUCAGAGAAAUAUGGUGUCUCAAGAUGUUUCUGGAUUCUCAUCAAAACACCUGCAUAAUGU